CUAGAGUGGGAAGGGCUGGCUGCCUGAGAGGAAGUAGGAUGCUUUCCCAUGCCACUCAGCAAUAACUUCAUCAGGCACCAUUGCAGUACACAGGCCUAGGCACUUCAGGACUCCAGCAGCAGCUGUGUUCUCUCUGACUUUGUUACCCUUUGUUACCCUCAAGAGUGAGAUCAGCAGCUGCCAUUGCAGCCUUGAGGGUCGCCCCCUCCUCACCUGUGGAAUGCCUGAGCCAGAUAAGGAUGAGAAAGAAGAGGACUCAGGAUGAUAUGUUCCAGGAGAACCUGCAAGCCAUUGCUGCAUCAGAGAAUGAGCACAGGGCCUAUAGGAUGAAUAUUAUGGAUAGCCUGGAGAAGGACAGAGUGGAGAGGAAAAAGGUGCAGGAAAAGGAGAGGGACAUGCACCAGGACAUAAUGGGGCUUCUCAGGCAGCAAACACAGAUGCUGCAGACUCUGGUGGACUUUCAGGUUCAAUAAUCCUGUGCUCACCUCCCUCAGCAGCCAGUUGAGAACUCAAUAUCGGGAUUUUCCUAUACCUCCUCUCAACAUUCCAUGUGGAGUCAGUGCACUACCCCUAACACUCCACCCUGUAUCACAUCGUCACAUAGAGUUAGCUGUGAAAGCCAUGGUUGGUAUGUGUGCAGCUGAUAUGGAAGUGACUGUUCUUUCCCCUUCAUAAGUUCUGUUCUCUUGUUUUAUUAAGUUUUUAAUCUAUUUGU